UACGACUACAUAUCAGGCAUAUCAAUAAGCGGAGGAAAAGAAACUAACAAGGAUUCCCUUAGUAACGGCGAGUGAAGCGGGAAGAGCUCAAAUUUGAAAUCUUCAAGGUUCUACCUUGACGAAUUGUAGUUUAAAGAAGUGUUUUCUGUUAGAUGAGUAGCAAAAGUUCCUUGGAAUGGGACAUCAUAGAGGGUGAGAAUCCCGUAUUUGGUUAUUCAUUCUAGCUUUGUGAUACACUUUCAAAGAGUCGGAUUGUUUGGGAAUGCAGUCCAAAAUGGGUGGUAAAUUUCAUCUAAAGCUAAAUAUUGGCGAGAGACCGAUAGCGAACAAGUACCGUGAGGGAAAGAUGAAAAGAACUUUGAAAAGAGAGUUAAACAGUACGUGAAAUUGUCAAAAGGGAAGCGUUUGACACCAGUGUUGUUUUUCCGAAAAUCAAUUACGAAUGGCUUGAUCUUGUGUUGUAUUGACCUUAUCAGCUUUCUGCACUUUUUUCGAGUCUUUCUUAAUGCACUUUUCGGUUAACAAGUCAACAUCAAUUUCUUUUGUUGUAAAAGAGUAUUCGGAAGGUGGCUUUCUUUUCAGAGAAAGUGUUUAUAGCCCUAUACUUCUACAAUCGGAGAGAUUGAGGUCUGCAGCGUAGAUCCUUCGGGGUUAGAUACAUUUGUGCUAAGUUGUAGCUUUUCAUAGACAACUUGUUGACUAUGUUUAGGUCAUGCGGCUUACUCGCUUGUGCUAUUUUACCUACGCUUAGGAUGUUGAGUAGCGACAUACGCAC
rnacentral:rRNA from 1 species